GCGGGUGUAGCUCAACGGUAGAGCAAGUAGUUUCCCAACUGCCGGAUGCGGGUUCGAAUCCCGUCGCCCGCUCCA
rnacentral:tRNA from 1 species